rnacentral:rRNA from 1 species
CCAACCCCCCCCAACCUGUUUUAAAAUUCAAAGAACUUGGCGGUCGACUAACCUACCAGGGGAACAUGUGCCUUAAUUCGAUGGUCCACGAUUUACCUUACCCCGCCUUGUAAUUUUUGGUCAGCCGCUAUACCGCCGUUGUUACUUCCUCGUCUGAGUGAAGAGAAGGGGGGGAGGAUGGUAAGGUGGGUAGUUCCCUUUGCCACGAAGGCAGGUUUAGGUAGCGCCUAAGGCGGGAGGGAGUAUGUGUUACAAUCCUGAUUUUGGAUUACGGAUCGAGCAGGGAAGGUUGCUUGUGAAGGUGAACUUGGCAGUAAGAUAAGAGUAAUGUGCUUAUCUGAAGAGAGUGUAAUGGUCGGCGUUCAAAUCGCCCGUCGCUCCCGGCGAAAGUUGGGAU